rnacentral:rRNA from 1 species
GGCCUACGGGCGGCUGCAGUGGGGAAUUUUGGACAAUGGGCGAAAGCCUGAUCCAGCCAUGCCGCGUGAGUGAAGAAGGCCUUCGGGUUGUAAAGCUCUUUCAGACGGAAAGAAAACUUCGAGGCUAAUACCUUCGGAGGAUGACGGUACCGUAAGAAGAAGCACCGGCUAACUACGUGCCAGCAGCCGCGGUAAUACGUAGGGUGCGAGCGUUAAUCGGAAUUACUGGGCGUAAAGCGUGCGCAGGCGGUUUUGUAAGACAGCUGUGAAAUCCCCGGGCUCAACCUGGGAACUGCGGUUGUGACUGCAAGACUUGAGUACGGCAGAGGGGGGUGGAAUUCCUGGUGUAGCAGUGAAAUGCGUAGAUAUCAGGAGGAACACCGAUGGCGAAGGCAGCCCCCUGGGCCUGUACUGACGCUCAUGCACGAAAGCGUGGGGAGCAAACAGGAUUAGAUACCCGGGUAGUCA